AAUCUUCCGCAAUGGGCGAAAGCCUGACGGAGCAACGCCGCGUGGGUGAUGAAGACCCUCGGGUUGUAAAGCCCUGUCGGAGGGGAAGAACGCAAUGACGGUACCCUCCAAGAAAGCCCCGGCUAACUACGUGCCAGCAGCCGCGGUAAUACGUAGGGGGCAAGCGUUAUCCGGAUUUACUGGGCGUAAAGCGCGUUAAGGCGGCCGGCAAAGUUGGGGGUGAAAUGCCAGGGCUCAACCCUGGAACUGCCUCCAAUACUGGUCGGCUAGAGUGCGAGAGAGGAAGGUGGAAUUCCCGGUGUAGUAGUGAAAUGCGUAGAUAUCGGGAGGAACACCAGUGGCGAAGGCGGCCUUCUGGCUCGCAACUGACGCUGUAGCGCGAAAGCGUGGGGAGCGA
rnacentral:rRNA from 1 species